rnacentral:rRNA from 1 species
UGGCAGGUACAGCGGGAAGCCACCUGGCGACAGGAGCGGACCGAAAGCCUGUCUCAGUUCGGAUUGGAGUCUGNAACCCGACUCCAUGAAGCUGGAUUCGCUAGUAAUCGCGCAUCAGCCACGGCGCGGUGAAUACGUUCCCGGGCCUUGUACACACCGCCCGUCAAGCCAUGGAAGUUGGGGGCGCCCGAAGUUGGUCGAGGAAUAGAUUACCUAAGGCGAAACCAAUGACUGGGGUGAAGUCGUAACAAGGUACC